UAUUUCAUUCACUUUAUAAUCAGGUCGGCCGCUUUGGUGGUUUACUUGCUGAUCGUGCAACUCAGAAACUGACUCCGCGCAUUUAAUAAAACAAUGUUUCGGCAGUGGGAGCACUAGUAUGCUAUGUAGUUUUAAGGUACCAGAACGUAUUUAAUUAGUUACUUGUUUAUUCGAAGGCUGAUAGUAUACCAAACAGCUUUUAUCUAUUUUUGUAAGUAUUAAGAAGAAAUAGUUUAUUUUUUCACAUUGUCAGUCAUCAGCAGUAUGAAUUCGUUGACUCUGAGCUUCGAUGUAGUGUAUAUAACGAUAUAAUACUGAGUUGCGGUAAGAAUCAAUCGUAUCAGAAGAAUAAAAAACGCCCUAAAUAUAGUAAGUGUUCAAAUAAAUUUGGAUGCACAGGGCAAAGACGCAGGAAGGACAGGAAAAGACUUUUGUGGAAUCGUUCAAGGUUUUAUAAGAACUGCUCUCGAAGAUCAACUUCUUUCACUAAUCGUAGAGCCAAAAAUUUGAACAGGAUUAAGUCGUCUUUUUGGGGUAUUUAAAGUAAAAAAACUCAUUUAAAUGUCAAAGCCGUUUGUUAUGGGGUGACAUCAGCUUUUAUUCCGCGGGCAAUGAAAGGUGUUUCACUCUGCUAUUCAAAAUGUAUCAUGCAGUUCUUGGAAUUGGGAUUCUUAUACAAACUUUUCAAUUGUUCGUCAUUACGCAAUGCCAGUGCCCAGAGUACUUUCGGUAUUUUCGCAACGAGACCACCGGAGAAAUCAUGGGAAUAGUAGAGAUUCAUGUACCGCCGAAAAAUGUUCCUUUACAUUUGCGUGUAGUUUUAAGCGUCGACACAGUCCUUCCUACAAAAUACGUUGGGCGCAUAGAGUUAGAGAAAUCAAAAGAAGAGUCUAUGCGACUGGUUCUCCAAGGCAUGCCUAUUUAUUAUCGGAUCUACUUUCCCGUCCGGCACCCUAUUCCAGUAGUCACGAGUAUCACGCUGAAUGGCGUUCUAUUCUGCAGAGGACUACCAGCAAUGGGGAUGAUCGUGACGAAUAUGAUAUUGGAGCACACCCUGUUCCCACCGCGAGUGAUUAUUCCUCUAUCGGAGCAACUGCUCAAUUUCAUUUCGAAUCACGGAAAUUCUUCAACCAUUCUCGUGAAACCAACCCCUUCUACGGACAGACAAACAACGGCAAUGGUACCUGACAAACAGGAAAUUCCACCGACCGUGGUACCGACAAGUGAUUUGCAAUUCGAUCGUCCAUCUAAGCCCAUGACAGUAGAUUUGACGUGCGGAUCAUCAGGAGAAUCCCAUCUAGUAAUCACAAAUAGCGAAGUGGUUACGCCAACUAUGUGGCCAUGGUUAGCUGGCGUUUUUCUAAUGAAAGAUGAAUUAGAAUUCAAAUGCAACGGAAAUCUCAUUUCGAGACAAUUUGUUUUGACAGUGGCUCACUGUUUGAAAGAUGACGGCGAGAAUAUACCACCCAGCAUGUUGGUAGUAUCUCUUGGCCGUUUCGAUUUAUAUGUUUGGGAUGAGCAAGGAUCUUUGAACGUAGACGUACUCGAGUACAAAAUUCAUCCAGAUUACGUAAAUCCUCUGAGUGCCGAUUCUGAUUUGGCGAUAAUCAAGCUUAUGGAUCGGAUUGAGUAUACCCCGAGAAUUCGUCCCUUGUGUCUUUGGAUGGGAAAACCAGACCUUGACAGAGUUGUCGGAACAUUUGGCUACGUAGUCGGAUGGAGCAAAGACCAGAAUAAACAGCAGUCGAACGAGCCACGAAUGUCUAAAGCACCAAUUGUAUCGCAGGAAGACUGUCUGAGGAGUAACGUUGCAUUUCUCGACGCAACGUCUAACAGGACGUUUUGCGCUGGUACAAGAGAUGGUGGCGGUUCUUGCAUUGCCGAUAGCGGUAGCGGAUUCGUAAUGUAUCAUACACGUAUAAGUCGUUACCACUUACGAGGAAUAGUUUCCUUAUCAACGAUCGACGCAAGAACAAGAUAUUGCGAUUAUAAGGAAUACGUCGUUUACGUGGAUAUCGCUAAGUAUUUGUCUUGGAUUCAUCAAGAGAUGAACUCCUGAAGCAAUAACACGUAUCGAUUUUAAAUGAUGGAUUUGGUAUUACAUAAAAAAUCCUUUUUCUUUUAGAUCUGAUACGGCAAAAUGGUUAAAAAGUGGCUCACCUAAAUUCAUAAGAGCAUCUAAGCUCACUUGAUAGGAAUGCAUGAAAUAACAAUGGUGACCUCGACGCUGUUCGUGCCUUUUUUAUCGCUAGGAUAAAUUGUCACGCCGUAAUUGCGCUCGACAAACGUUUAAUUAAAACUUUCUUCGGAGUCGUGGUGUAAUUAUACAUCUAGAAAACAUUCUCAACGGAACCAAUCUCUUCUAACGAAUACAUUCAUACCUAUGCUUCGCCAGUGCAGUUGCAGUAUGCAGUUUUGUAAAUGAACCAAUAAAUAGAAUCGCUGAGAAUCUUCGGCAAUCAGUCAUGUUUUUAUUAUACCAGCGCAAAUUGAUUUUCGAUUCGUUAUCGGCAGUUUUGCUUUCUUUAAUACUUUUUCAUCUGGCGGUUAGCGGCAAUGAAGUCACUUUACCAUCCGUUCAACGGUAAUAAUAUUUUUUUUUUUCGACAACGUUUAUUUUUGAUUUUCGCUUUGAUCGCUUCAAAUUUCUAGUGCACAGUUUUCUUGAACGUGGAUUACCGAUUUAUCGCUCCGAAAAUAAUAUGUACGCGCUUUUUAAACUAUUUUUAAACGUUGAUUCUAGUGAGAAGAUCGAUGAAGCAAUUAAGAUCAUAGGUGACUUUCUUCGAAGUGAGAAGGGAAUCGAGUGGUUAGCUGAAUCAAUAAAAGAACGCAAAUCGCAGUUAACGACUAUCGACCUAGUAAUAAAUAUUUUGGAAACCCCUUCUUUAGAGGGUCAAGUGUGGGAUGCUGCGAAGGUUUUAAAGGAAGCUCUAGAACUAAAGACCGAUAGCAUUGACUUGAAUUUAAAUAAAAAAGGUGCAAAAAGUAACAGUUCGGAGGAAAAUUGGAAUAAUGCAGUGACAGAUGUUGAGGACGAAGACGACAUUUUAUGUUUAUACAGGAAGAACAGUCAUAAUCCUCAAAUGAAAAAAUCUGAGGAUUGGAGAAAAUUGUUAGAUAUUGCACCUGGAUACACUAUUCAUUCAGUUACUGAUAAAGGCUCCAAGUAUCUUAUAUGUUUGAAAAAAAUUAAUAUAACAGAAACGCUUACAACGACGUUGCCGACUUCAAUAAUUACGACGUUACCGAAUCUAACAGAGGAAGUCCAAACAAGCAAGAGUGAAAUCAAUGAUAAUUUCUAUACGAUGCAUAGCAGAAGCUUUAAUCAAACAGCAUCAGUUGAAAAUAAAAAUUCUACUGAAAAUUUUGAUAACCAGACUAUUCGAAGAGGGCUAAACCGUCACCACGAUGAGAAUACCAGUAAUUCUGGAGAUGACUUUGAAGAGGAUUGUUCUACCAGUGAACAAGAUGAAAGUGACAGUGAUGUUGCUCAAGAUAUUAGUUUGAAAAACGUUACCCCUCUAUAUUCGGGAAAAUCAAUCAACCACCUGCCAGUACAAUCUAGAAGAGGAAAUCCUUUAAAAGAAGAACUCUCAAGUCGAAAUAAUAGUAUUGACAAAAAUAAUAACGUUGAAAGAUCUUUGAAAGAUAAUAAAUUAUUACAUCCUCAACACCAUAGAAAGAAGCACGAGAGAAACUGGAAUGGAUUAUUGGAACCUCAAAAAACCAAAAGACGCCAUAAACAAAUUCGUGACAAUAUUAAGAAGUCAAGAAAAUCGAUGAAAACGAAAGAAGAUCCGUUUACUUCAUUAGAAUCUAUAAAUAAUAAAAGACAACAGCCCAAUGAAUUUGAAUUUCUACUACAAGAUAAGCCAAAUUUUCAAUUUCAAAUGAUAAAUGCAAUACAGCAAACUAUUCCUUUUGUGUUAUAUCUACAUAAAUUGCAUUCCGAAGAAAAAAUGCAACUAGUAAAUAAUAUGCUCGAUUGUUUGUUUCAAGAAAAGCCUCCGUGUCAUAACGUUCGUCAGCAAAUUUUAUUUCCAUUCUUACCACCCGAGGAUGAUAAUCGCGGACAGUUUCCAUGUAUGUUUUCUGAAAAUUUUAAUCAAACAGUUACAAUACCAUAUUAUUUAAAAAAAGUUAUUUUACCUAAUAAUUUUGUUGGUCUUCUACAGAUUUCGAUGUUACCACCAAUUACUAAUGAACUAAAGGAUCAAGUUAACUUUGUUAUACCACUGCAUAAUUCAAAUUCACUGUCAGAAUCAAACAUAAAUAACAAUAAUCACCCAUCACGAAUUGAUAUUAAAAAAAUGCAAACAAACUAAGGCAGGGAUCAGAAUUUUAAGUUUGUUUCAAAAAAUAGUGAUACAAAUGAUCAGGCCUGGAAGAGUGAACGACAAAAAUAAAGAAAAUGCGAUUGGAUUACUGAUGCUUGAUAAAGACAAAAAUAAAAAUAAUUCUGAUGUGACAGAA